rnacentral:rRNA from 1 species
AGAGUUUGAUCCUGGCUCAGAGCGAACGCUGGCGGCAGGCUUAACACAUGCAAGUCGAACGCCCCGCAAGGGGAGUGGCGCAAGGGUGAGUAAUGCGUGGGAAUCUGCCUCAAGGUACGGAAUAACUGCUGGAAACGGCAGCUAAUACCGUAUGUGCUCCACGGAGCAAAGCUUCGGCGCCUUGAGAUGAGCCCACGUCCGAUUAGCUAGUUGGUAGGGUAACGGCCUACCAAGGCGACGAUCGGUAGCUGGUCUGAGAGGAUGGUCAGCCACACUGGGACUGAGAUACGGCCCAGACUCCUACGGGAGGCAGCAGUGGGGAAUAUUGGACAAUGGGCGCAAGCCUGAUCCAGCCAUGCCGCGUGAGUGAAGAAGGCCUUAGGGUUGUAAAGCUCUUUCAGCGGGGACGAUGAUGACGGUACCCGCAGAAGAAGCCCCGGCUAACUCCGUGCCAGCAGCCGCGGUAAUACGGAGGGGGCUAGCGCUGCUCGGAAUUACUGGGCGUAAAGGGCGCGUAGGCGGCUUUGUAAGUCAGGCGUGAAAGCCCCGGGCUCAACCCGGGAAUUGCGCUUGGGACUGCAGAGCUCGAGGUCGGGAGAGGGUAGUGGAAUUCCCAGUGUAGAGGUGAAAUUCGUAGAUAUUGGGAAGAACACCAGUGGCGAAGGCGGCUACCUGGACCGAAUCUGACGCUGAGGCGCGAAAGCGUGGGGAGCAAACAGGAUUAGAUACCCUGGUAGUCC